UGCUACUUGAAAGAUGGUUCUGCUAUCACUAAUAGAUGGUCCCGCGGCGCAUUAGUUAGUUGGUGAGGUAAUGGCUCACCAAGACGAUGAUGCGUAUCCGAGUUGAGAGACUGAUCGGCCACAAUGGGACUGAGACACGGCCCAUACUCCUACGGGAGGCAGCAGUAGGGAAUCUUCCACAAUGGACCAAAGUCUGAUGGAGCAACCCCCCGUGUGUGAUGAAGGGUUUCGGCUCGUAAAACACUGUUGUAAGAUAAGAAUAGCAUCAAGAGUAACUGCUUGGUGUGUGACGGUAUCUUACCAGAAAGGAACGGCUAAAUACGUGCCAGCAGCCGCGGUAAUACGUAUGUUCCAAGCGUUAUCCGGAUUUAUUGGGCGUAAAGCGAGCGCACACGGUUUUUUAAGUCCCAAGUGAAAGCCCACAGCUUAACUGUGGAAGUGCUUUGGAAACUGGAUGACUUGAGUGCAGUAAGGAGAGUGGAAUUCCAUGUGUA
rnacentral:rRNA from 1 species